CAAUUCCGACACAACUAUUUCUGACACGAGCACCAAGCACCAUGUGGAGUUGUCCACCACCCAAUUGGAAGAAUUCAGAAACGCGCUCUGCAUACUGCAUGGCACACAUAGUGAGCUACUGCCAUGCUGCCCAGCAUCUUCCUCAACCUACUGGGCCUGAAGUGGUAUGGUUGUGUUCACCAGCAGCUUGGUAAGCAUGGAGCCUCCCUUUAUAAAGUUAUGGGUGACACGAGUGUGGGCCGUGUGGAUGGAUAAAAGGUGGAAGGGCUGAGUGACUCCACAAUCUUAAACUGGGCAAGGGUGAGGUUUCCCAAGACAUGAUGGCUCCCCUAAUCCUCUUUACUUUUUAAGUAUCAAGCAUCUUUGUUUUGAUUAAAACCGUGUAAAUUC